GAUUAGAAGUCAAAUAGAGACUUGUUAUUGUUAAUAACACUAUUGAAUAAAAAUUCCUAAGCAAG
rnacentral:tRNA from 1 species